AACGAACGCUGGCGGCAUGCCUAACACAUGCAAGUCGAACGAUGCCUUCGGGCAUAGUGGCGCACGGGUGCGUAACGCGUGGGAAUCUGCCCUUGGCUUCGGAAUAACAGUUAGAAAUGACUGCUAAUACCGGAUGAUGUCCCCCUGAGAGAUCUUGGGGACCAAAGAUUUAUCGGCCAGGGAUGAGCCCGCGUAGGAUUAGGUAGUUGGUGGGGUAAAGGCCUACCAAGCCGACGAUCCUUAGCUGGUCUGAGAGGAUGAUCAGCCACACUGGGACUGAGACACGGCCCAGACUCCUACGGGAGGCAGCAGUGGGGAAUAUUGGACAAUGGGGGGAACACUGAUCCAGCAAUGCCGCGUGAGUGAUGAAGGCCUUAGGGUUGUAAAGCUCUUUUACCAGGGAUGAUAAUGACAGUACCUGGAGAAUAAGCUCCGGCUAACUCCGUG
rnacentral:rRNA from 1 species